rnacentral:rRNA from 1 species
GGUGAAAAACCUCCCCGCCGGAAGACCAAGGGUUUCUGUUCGACGCUAAUCGGAGCAGAGUGAGUCGGCCCCUAAGGCGAGGCCGAAAGGCGUAGUCGAUGGGAAACGGGUUAAUAUUCCCGUACCUCACUGUAUUGCGAUGGGGAGACGGAGAAGGCUAGGUGAGCCAGGCGUUGGUUGUCCUGGUGAAAGUCGGUAGGCUGGAGAAUCAGGCAAAUCCGGUUCUCCAAGGCCGAGAGACGAGACGAACGGACCACGGUCCGGAAGUCAUUGAUGCCACGCUUCCAGGAAAAACCUCUAAGCUUCAGAUACAGUGGGACCGUACCCCAAACCGACACAGGUGGUCAGGGUGAGAAUCCUAAGGCGCUUGAGAGAACUCGGGUGAAGGAACUAGGCAAAAUGGUGCCGUAACUUCGGGAGAAGGCACGCCGCCGGUACGUGAAACCCCUCGCGGGUGGAGCCGAAAGCGGUCGAAGAUACCAGGUGGCUGCAACUGUUUAUUAAAAACACAGUACUCUGCAAACGCGUAAGCGGACGUAUAGGGUAUGACGCCUGCCCGGUGCCGGAAGGUUAAGUGAUGGUGUUAGCGCAAGCGAAGCUCUUGAUCGAAGCCCCGGUAAACGGCGGCCGUAACUAUAACGGUCCUAAGGUAGCGAAAUUCCUUGUCGGGUAAGUUCCGACCUGCACGAAUGGCGUAAUGAUGGCCACGCUGUCUCCACCCGAGACUCAGUGAAAUUGAAAUCGCAGUGAAGAUGCUGUGUACCCGCGGCUAGACGGAAAGACCCCGUGAACCUUUACUAUAGCUUCACACUGGACGCUGAUGUUGCUUGUGUAGGAUAGCUGGGAGGCUUGGAAACUCGGACGCCAGUUCGAGUGGAGCCAACCUUGAAAUACCAGCCUGGCAUCAUUGGCGUUCUAACUCAGGUCCGUCAUCCGGAUCGAGGACCGUGUGUGGUGGGUAGUUUGACUGGGGCGGUCUCCUCCCAAAGAGUAACGGAGGAGCACGAAGGUACCCUCAGUACGGUUGGAAAUCGUGCAUUGAGUGCAAGAGCAUAAGGGUGCUUGACUGCGAGACAGACACGUCGAGCAGGUACGAAAGUAGGUUCUAGUGAUCCGGUGGUUCUGUAUGGAAGGGCCAUCGCUCAACGGAUAAAAGGUACUCCGGGGAUAACAGGCUGAUACCGCCCAAGAGUUCACAUCGACGGCGGUGUUUGGCACCUCGAUGUCGGCUCAUCACAUCCUGGGGCUGAAGUCGGUCCCAAGGGUAUGGCUGUUCGCCAUUUAAAGUGGUACGCGAGCUGGGUUUAGAACGUCGUGAGACAGUUCGGUCCCUAUCUGCCGUGGGCGUUGGAGAUUUGAGAAGAGCUGCUCCUAGUACGAGAGGACCGGAGUGGACGCACCUCUGGUGUUCCGGUUGUCACGCCAGUGGCAUUGCCGGGUAGCUAUGUGCGGACAGGAUAACCGCUGAAAGCAUCUAAGCGGGAAGCCCCCUUCAAGAUGAGAUCUCCCCGAGGCCUCGAGCCUCCUGAAGGGCCCAGCGAGACCAGCUGGUUGAUAGGCCGGAUGUGGAAGCGCUGCAAGGCGUUGAGCUAACCGGUACUAAUGGCCCGUGAGGCUUGACCAU